UACGUAGGGUGCGAGCGUUAAUCGGAAUUACUGGGCGUAAAGCGUGCGCAGGCGGUUUUGUAAGUCAGAUGUGAAAGCCCCGGGCUUAACCUGGGAAUUGCGUUUGAAACUACAAGGCUAGAGUGUGUCAGAGGGGGGUAGAAUUCCACGUGUAGCAGUGAAAUGCGUAGAGAUGUGGAGGAAUACCGAUGGCGAAGGCAGCCCCCUGGGAUAACACUGACGCUCAUGCACGAAAGCGUGGGGAGCAAAC
rnacentral:rRNA from 1 species